CGGUAUGUAAUACGAAUUAUCCGGGACC
rnacentral:sRNA from 1 species